rnacentral:rRNA from 1 species
GACGUAGGGCGCAAGCGUUGUCCGGAUUUAUUGGGCGUAAAGAGCUCGUAGGCGGCUUGUUGCGUCGACCGUGAAAACCCGUGGCUCAACUGCGGGCUUGCGGUCGAUACGGGCGGGCUAGAGUUCGGUAGGGGAGACUGGAAUUCCUGGUGUAGCGGUGAAAUGCGCAGAUAUCAGGAGGAACACCGGUGGCGAAGGUGGGUCUCUGGGCCGAUACUGACGCUGAGGAGCGAAAGCGUGGGGAGCGAACAGG